CAGGGAGCUUGCUCCUGGGUGACGAGCGGCGGACGGGUGAGUAAUGUCUGGGAAACUGCCUGAUGGAGGGGGAUAACUACUGGAAACGGUAGCUAAUACCGCAUAACGUCGCAAGACCAAAGAGGGGGACCUUCGGGCCUCUUGCCAUCAGAUGUGCCCAGAUGGGAUUAGCUAGUAGGUGGGGUAAUGGCUCACCUAGGCGACGAUCCCUAGCUGGUCUGAGAGGAUGACCAGCCACACUGGAACUGAGACACGGUCCAGACUCCUACGGGAGGCAGCAGUGGGGAAUAUUGCACAAUGGGCGCAAGCCUGAUGCAGCCAUGCCGCGUGUAUGAAGAAGGCCUUCGGGUUGUAAAGUACUUUCAGCGAGGAGGAAGGCAUUAAGGUUAAUAACCUUGGUGAUUGACGUUACUCGCAGAAGAAGCACCGGCUAACUCCGUGCCAGCAGCCGCGGUAAUACGGAGGGUGCAAGCGUUAAUCGGAAUUACUGGGCGUAAAGCGCACGCACGCGGUCUGUCAAGUCGGAUGUGAAAUCCCCGGGCUCAACCUGGGAACUGCAUUCGAAA
rnacentral:rRNA from 1 species